GGAAGUGAAGGCCAUCUGGAUGUGACAUCUAUCACCCCGUUGAUCACCAGCGUUGAUUCAGCUGAUCAGGCUGGCUUAAGCAGGUGUCCCCUUCCUUCCUCACCACUCUAUGUGCGUCCUCCAUCGAAGAGGAUGACCUUCCCUGACAGAGGACCAUUCUUGGGUCAAGGGUAUAUGAGUAGCUGUGCUCUCCUGCUAGAACCAAACAAGCUCUCAGGGUCCAUUGGUAGGAGAAUGUAGGGUAGUCAAACUUCCAAGGCUCUGGACACAUCCAAAUGAGGUGCUGCAUGUGGCAGUCUACCUUUCUUU
ensembl:misc_RNA 7SK 7SK RNA